AGCCCACUUAGAUGUAAGCCCAUAGGGCCCAAUGAAUGCAUUCACCUGUAAGCAACUUUAAGCUAGGGUUUUUCCUUCAUUAUCUCGUUUCUCAAUCCGCAGAGCGAUUGCAGAGAAUUAGCCAUGGGGAGAAGACCUGCAAGGUGUUACCGCCAGAUUAAGAACAAGCCUUACCCAAAAUCACGGUUUUGCCGUGGUGUUCCAGAUCCAAAGAUCAGGAUCUACGAUGUGGGUAUGAAGAGAAAGGGAGUUGAUGAAUUUCCUUUCUGUGUGCACUUGGUUAGUUGGGAGAAGGAGAAUGUUUCAAGUGAGGCACUUGAAGCUGCUCGUAUUGCUUGCAACAAGUACAUGACCAAGUCUGCUGGAAAGGAUGCUUUCUACCUCAGGGUUAGGGUCCACCCCUUCCAUGUUUUGUGAAUUAACAAGAUGUUGUCAUGUGCUGGGGCUGAUAGGCUCCAAACUGGUAUGAGAGGAGCUUUUGGUAAGCCACAGGGAGUCUGUGCCCGUGUUGCUAUUGGUCAGGUUCUUCUCUCAGUUCGCUGCAAAGAUGGCAAUGCUAACCAUGCUCAAGAGGCUCUUCGCCGUGCUAAGUUUAAGUUCCCUGGCCGACAAAAGAUCAUUGUCAGCAGAAAGUGGGGGUUCACUAAGUUUAGCCGUACCGAUUAUCUGAAAUACAAAUCUAAGAAUCGUAUUGUCCCAGACGGUGUCAACGCCAAGCUUCUUGGAUGCCAUGGACGACUUGCUGCACGUCAACCUGGAAGAGCUUUUCUAGAAGCUGCUAAUUGAAGUUGCAGAAUUUACAAAUCUGUACCUUUAGCUUUCUACUUCCGCUGAAUGAAAUUUUGUUUCCUGAUCAUCUAUCUAGUUUUGAACCAUUACAUAAGUUGUUACCCCUCUGAACGUUUGCCUUUUCAAAGUAUAAUGAUUGGCUUUUAUUUGAAUGAUGAGUUUUAUUAUACA